CCUGAGCGUCAGUCUUUGUCCAGGGGGCCGCCUUCGCCACCGGUAUUCCUCCAGAUCUCUACGCAUUUCACCGCUACACCUGGAAUUCUACCCCCCUCUACAAGACUCAAGCUUGCCAGUUUCAAAUGCAGUUCCCAGGUUGAGCCCGGGGAUUUCACAUCUGACUUAACAAACCGCCUGCGUGCGCUUUACGCCCAGUAAUUCCGAUUAACGCUUGCACCCUCCGUAUUACCGCGGCUGCUGGCACGGAGUUAGCCGGUGCUUCUUCUGCGAGUAACGUCAAUCGCUAAGGUUAUUAACCUUAACGCCUUCCUCCUCGCUGAAAGUACUUUACAACCCGAAGGCCUUCUUCAUACACGCGGCAUGGCUGCAUCAGGCUUGCGCCCAUUGUGCAAUAUUCCCCACUGCUGCCUCCCGUAGGAGUCUGGACCGUGUCUCAGUUCCAGUGUGGCUGGUCAUCCUCUCAGACCAGCUAGGGAUCGUCGCCUAGGUGAGCCAUUACCCCACCUACUAGCUAAUCCCAUCUGGGCACAUCUGAUGGCAUGAGGCCCGAAGGUCCCCCACUUUGGUCUUGCGACGUUAUGCGGUAUUAGCUACCGUUUCCAGUAGUUAUCCCCCUCCAUCAGGCAGUUUCCCAGACAUUACUCACCCGUCCGCCGCUCGUCACCCGAGAGCAA
rnacentral:rRNA from 1 species